rnacentral:rRNA from 1 species
UACAGGGGGGGGCAAGCGUUGUUCGGAAUUACUGGGACGUAAAGGGCUUGUAGGUGGCCAACUAAGUCACACGUGAAAUCCCCAGGCUUAACCUGGGGAACUGCGUGUGAUACUGGAUGGCUUGAAUCCGGGGAGAGGGAUGCGGAAUUCCAGGUGUAGCGUGAAAUGCGUAGAUAAUCUGGAGGAACACCGGUGGCGAAGGCGGCAUCCUGGACCGGUAUUGACGCUGAAAGCCGAAAGCUAGGGGAGCAACGGG